rnacentral:rRNA from 1 species
UACGGGGGGAGCAAGCGUUGUUCGGAUUUACUGGGCGUAAAGGGCGCGUAGGCGGCGUGACAAGUCACUUGUGAAAUCUCCGGGCUUAACUCGGAGCGGUCAAGUGAUACUGUCGUGCUAGAGUGCGGAAGGGGCUACUGGAAUUCUCGGUGUAGCGGUGAAAUGCGUAGAUAUCGAGAGGAACACCUGCGGCGAAGGCGGGUAGCUGGGCCGACACUGACGCUGAGGCGCGAAAGCUAGGGGAGCGAACAGG